rnacentral:rRNA from 1 species
AGUGAACGCUGGCGGUAGGCCUAACACAUGCAAGUCGAACGGCAGCACAGUAAGAGCUUGCUCUUACGGGUGGCGAGUGGCGGACGGGUGAGGAAUACAUCGGAAUCUACUUUUUCGUGGGGGAUAACGUAGGGAAACUUACGCUAAUACCGCAUACGACCUACGGGUGAAAGCAGGGGAUCUUCGGACCUUGCGCGAGUGAAUGAGCCGAUGUCGGAUUAGCUAGUUGGCUGGGUAAAGGCCCACCAAGGCGACGAUCCGUAGCUGGUCUGAGAGGAUGAUCGUCCACACUGGAACUGAGACACGGUCCAGCCUCCUACGGCAGGCAGCAGUGGGGAAUAUUGCACAAUGGGCGAAAGCCUUAACCAGCCAUACCGCGUGGGUGAAGAAGGCCUUCGGGUUGUAAAGCCCUUUUGUUGGGAAAGAAAAGCAGCAGGUUAAUACCCCGCUGUUCUGACGGUACCCAAAGAAUAAGCACCGGCUAACUUCGUG